rnacentral:lncRNA from 1 species
AGAGAGCAGACAAAUGAAAACAUGAUAACAUAAAUCUCUCUUUUGCUUCAGUUCAAAUGUAACCAAUUCCCAACUCAUUUCCCAAUUUUCAUUCAUUGAACUCUUUUUCUUUAUCUUGUUCUUCUUUCUUCUUUUUCUUCACUUUUCUAUCUUUUUGUUUCUUCUUGUUUUUAUUAAUGCUCCCUUAUAACAUGAUCUCCU